GACGUAGGGCGCGAGCGUUGUCCGGAAUUAUUGGGCGUAAAGAGCUCGUAGGCGGUUUGUCGCGUCUGCCGUGAAAGUCCGGGGCUCAACUCCGGAUCUGCGGUGGGUACGGGCAGACUAGAGUGAUGUAGGGGAGACUGGAAUUCCUGGUGUAGCGGUGAAAUGCGCAGAUAUCAGGAGGAACACCGGAUGGCGAAGGCAGGUCUCUGGGCAUAACUGACGCUGAGGAGCGAAGCGUGGGGAGCGAACAGG
rnacentral:rRNA from 1 species